rnacentral:rRNA from 1 species
UACGGGGGGGGCAAGCGUUGUUCGGAAUUACUGGGCGUAAAGGGCUCGUAGGCGGCCAACUAAGUCGGAUGUGAAAUCCCCAGGCUCAACCUGGGAACUGCAUCCGAUACUGGAUGGCUUGAAUUCGGGAGAGGGAUGCAGAAUUCCAGGUGUAGCGGUGAAAUGCGUAGAUAUCUGGAGGAAUACCGGUGGCGAAGGCGGCAUCCUGGACCGACAUUGACGCUGAGGAGCCAAAGCCAGGGGAGCAAACGGG